rnacentral:SRP_RNA from 1 species
CCGUGCUAGAUGGGGAGCUAGCGGUGCCCUGCACCCGCAAUCCGCUACAGCGGGAUCGAAUUCCUCCCCGAGGAUCGGCACGGUUUCGUGUUCAGCGUUGGCAGUGUCACGGCGUGGGUCUUGUGCGGCGUGAGCCUGUGAACCGGGUCAGGACCGGAAGGUAGCAGCCCUAAGCGGUCACUCACGGGCGCCACGAGGAUGCCUGCGGCGGACUGUUAACAGCAGCGAAAUCGGAUGAGAUUCGACGGGAGGUGCACGG